UACGGAGGUCCCAAGCGUUGUUCGGAUUCAUUGGGCGUAAAGGGUGCGUAGGUGGCGCGGUAAGUCGGGUGUGAAAUUUCGGAGCUUAACUCCGAAACUGCAUUCGAUACUGCCGUGCUUGAGGACUGGAGAGGAGACUGGAAUUUACGGUGUAGCGGUGAAAUGCGUAGAUAUCGUAAGGAAGACCAGUGGCGAAGGCGGGUCUCUGGACAGUUCCUGACGCUGAGGCACGAAGGUCAGGGGAGCAAACGGG
rnacentral:rRNA from 1 species